UUUCAAGUAGUAUAAAAUAUUGCUAUGUUGAACCUGGCCCGAAGAGAUCCAGCUAAUCAUUCUGUGUUGAUUUCAUAUUGAAUUCUUUCACCGCGUUCACCGCCAUUCACCGCAUAAUAGUCUCCUACACCGCAUGAGAUAAGCAGGUCACAACAAUCUACUAUUGUCUUUAAUUUCACAAAAAUUUCAGAUCGUCCUUGGUGGCUUAGUGGUAGUUCGUCUGGCCUGUCUCUAUUAACGUUUGGGUUCAAAUCCCGUUGAACUCAUAUUUUGUAGCGGACUCUCAAUAUUUUUCUUCCCUUUAUAUAAUCUGGCUAUUUUUUACUCUUUUUAUAGUUCUAUGUGAGAAAUCGCUUUGCAAGUAGUAUAAAAUAUUGCUAUGUUGAACCUGGUCCGAAGAGAUCCAGCUAAUCAUUCUGUGUUGAUUUCAUAUUGAAUUCUUUCACCGCGUUCACCGCCAUUCACCGCAUAAUAGUCUCCUACAACGCAUGAGAUAAGCAGGUCACAACAAUCUACUAUUGCCUUUAAUUUCACCAAAAUUUCAGAUCGUCCCUGGUGGCUUAAUGGUAG